GUUGAUCUAAUCUAGUGAAUGCAUAAUCAUAGUAGGACAUUUCAGUUUUUACUAUGAUCGCCUCCCAGCCUCCUCAGGUUUCACCGGGCGCUCUCUUCAUUUUGUGCUUGAACCACAACUGCUGCAGACCCACGAUCUCUAAGUCUCUAAGCUGAAACAGUUGACACUUUUGUCAAUGCACUAAAAUGGUCAGCUAAGUGGCAAAGUGGAUGCAGCACAAGUCCUGGAACUAAGGGAACCUCAGUUUAAGCUGGAUUCAGGUCCAACACUCUAUCGACUGCAGAGAACUGAACGAUCACUUGCCAAGGAUGGUGUCGAGGGAAUAAAACAAUAAUUUGAAA